AUUGAACGCUGGCGGAAUGCUUUACACAUGCAAGUCGAACGGCAGCACGGACUUCGGUCUGGUGGCGAGUGGCGAACGGGGGAGUAAUGUAUCGGAACGUGCCCAGUCGUGGGGGAUAACGUAGUGAAAAUUACGCUAAUACCGCAUACGAUCUAUGGAUGAAAGCGGGGGAUCGCAAGACCUCGCGCGAUUGCAGCGGCCGAUAUCAGAUUAGGUAGUUAGUGGGGUAAAGGCCCACCAAGCCAACGAUCUGUAGCUGGUCUGAGAGGACGACCAGCCACACUGGAACUGAGACACGGUCCAGACUCCUACGGGAGGCAGCAGUGGGGAAUUUUGGACAAUGGGCGAAAGCCUGAUCCAGCCAUUCCGCGUGCAGGAUGAAGGCCCUCGGGUUGUAAACUGCUUUUGUACAGAACGAAAAGGUUUCUACUAAUACUAGGAGCUCAUGACGGUACUGUAAGAAUAAGCACCGGCUAACUACGUGCCAGCCGCCGCCGUAA
rnacentral:rRNA from 1 species